GACGAACGCUGGCGGCGUGCCUAACACAUGCAAGUCGAACGGAAAGGUCGGGCUUUGGUGCGGUGGUCGAGUGGCGAACGGGUGAGUAACACGUUGGUAACCUGCCCCUCAGUUUGGGAUAACUUCAGGAAACUGGUGCUAAUACCGGAUAGGAGCUCUUGCUGCAUGAUGGGGGUUGGAAAGAUUCGCUGGUUGGGGAUGGACUCGCGGCUGAUCAGCAUGAUGGUGGGGUAGUGGAAUAGCAAGGCCAUGCCGGGUAGCCUUCCUGGGAGGGUGACAGGCCACAUUGGACCUGGGAUGAGGCCCAGACUCCAACGGGAGGCAGCGGUGGAGAAUAGAGCACAGUGCGCGGGGGCAUGGUGCAACGACGCCGCGUCGGGGAUAUCAGGCUUCUGGUAGGAACGCGCUUUUGUCUGUGACGAAGCGAUAGUGACGGUAACGGGUGAAGAAGCACCGGCUAACUACGUG
rnacentral:rRNA from 1 species